CCCUUAGAUGUCCUGGGCCGCACGCGCGUUACACUGAUGCAUUCAACGAGCUUAUAACCUUGGCCGAGAGGCCUGGGCAAUCUUGUUAACGUGCAUCGUGAUAGGGAUAGAUUAUUGAAAUUAUUAAUCUUGAACGAGGAAUUCCUAGUAAACGCAGAUCAUCAAUCUGCAUUGAUUACGGCCCUGCCCUUUGUACACACCGCCCGUCGCACCUACCGAUUGGAUGGUCCGGUGAAGCCUCGGGAUUGUGGUUCUUGCCGCUUUAUUGUGGCGUGACCGCGAGAACUUGUCUAAACCUUAUCAUCUAGAGGAAGGUGAAGUCGUAACA
rnacentral:rRNA from 1 species